rnacentral:rRNA from 1 species
UCAAGCUAAUAAGAGCAAACGGUGAAUGCCUUGGCGCCAGGAGGCGAUGAAGGACGUGGGUAACUGCGAAAUGCUUCGGGGAGUCGUUAACCAGACUUUGAUCCGGAGAUGUCCGAAUGGGGAAACCCGGCUGGGGUCAUGCCCAGUCAUCGCACACUGAAUACAUAGGUGUGUGAAGCCAACCCGGAGAACUGAAACAUCUCAGUACCCGGAGGAAAGGAAAUCAACCGAGACUCCCCAAGUAGCGGCGAGCGAACGGGGACUAGCCCAAACCGGUGGGAAGCAAUUCCUGCCGGGGUUGUGGGACUCCGAUGUGGGACUCAAACGCAUAGUCGAACGGUCUGGAAAGUCCGGCCAAAGAGGGUGAUAGCCCCGUAAGCGAAAUGUGAAUGAGCUCUAGGAGUAUCCCGAGUACCGCGGGGCACGUGAAACCCUGUGGGAAUCUGGGGGGACCAUCCUCCAAGGCUAAGUACUACCUGGCGACCGAUAGUGAACCAGUACCGUGAGGGAAAGGUGAAAAGAACCCCAGUGAGGGGAGUGAAAUAGACCUGAAACCGUUUGCUUACAGACAGUAGGAGCUCUAUGCCUCGGACUUCGGUCCUUGGAAAGGGUGACUGCGUACCUUUUGUUUAAUGGGUCCGCGAGUUACGCCUCAGCAGCGAGGUUAAGCCGUCAGGUGUAGCCGAAGCGAAAGCGAGUCUGAAUAGGGCGUCUAGUUGCUGGGGGUAGACCCGAAACCAGGUGAUCUAUCCAUGGGCAGGUUGAAGCUCGGGUAAGACCGAGUGGAGGACCGAACCGUAGUAGGUUGAAAACUACCCGGAUGACCUGUGGAUAGGGGUGAAAGGCCAAUCAAACCUGGAGAUAGCUGGUUCUCCCCGAAAUAUAUUGAGGUAUAGCGUCACGUAUUACUACCGGAGGUAGGGCACUGAAUGGGCUAGGGGUCCUACCAGAUUACCGAACCCAAUCAAACUCCGAAUACCGGUAAGUACAGCGUGGCAGUCAGACUACGGGUGAUAAGAUUCGUGGUCGAAAGGGAAACAGCCCAGACCGUCGGCUAAGGUCCCCAAAUUCAUGCUAAGUGGGAAAGGAUGUGGAAGCGCUCAGACAACCAGGAUGUUGGCUUAGAAGCAGCCAUCAUUUAAAAAAUGCGUAAUAGCUUACUGGUCUAGUGAGUCUGCGCCGAAAAUGUAACGGGGCUAAAGCAUGGUACCGAAGCCACGGGUCAACGAUUCCUGCGGGAUUCGUUGGCGGUAGGGGAGCGUUCCAGUAGCCGCUGAAGCUCGACGGUGACGACGAGUGGAGGUCCUGGAAGUGCUUAUGCGGACAUGAGUAACGAUAAACAGGGUGAGAAACCCUGUCGCCGUAAGCCUAAGGGUUCCUGAGUAAAGCUAAUCUGCUCAGGGUUAGUCGGCCCCUAAGCCGAGGGCGAAAGCCGUAGGUGAUGGGAAACGGGUUAAUAUUCCCGUACCACUAGAUGGGUGUUUGACCGAAGGGGGGACGGAGAAGGGUAGCUGAUCCGGGUGCUGGAUAUCCCGGUGCAAGCCUGUAGGCGGGUGGCGUAGGCAAAUCCGCGCCGCCAUUCAACGCCGAGAGGUGAUGUCGAGAGCCCUAGAGGCUCACAAAGUCAGUGAUCCCAUGCUUCCUAGAAAAGCCUCGUAGGGAAUUCAUCUGGUGACCGUACCGCAAACCGACACAGGUAGGCGGGCAGAGCAUGCCAAGGCGCUUGAGAGAACUCUGGUUAAGGAACUCGGCAAAUUGACACCGUAACUUCGGGAGAAGGUGUGCCCUGGUUGGUGAAGAGACUUGCUCUCGGAGCUGAUUGGGGUUGCAGAGACCAGGGGGUAGCGACUGUUUACUAAAAACACAGGACUCUGCGAACUCGUCAAGAGGACGUAUAGGGUCUGACGCCUGCCCGGUGCCGGAAGGUUAAGGGGAUCUGUUAGCUCUUCGGAGCGAAGCGGUGAACCGAAGCCCCGGUAAACGGCGGCCGUAACUAUAACGGUCCUAAGGUAGCGAAAUUCCUUGUCGGGUAAGUUCCGACCUGCACGAAUGG